UGAAUGGUAAGAGAGCUUUCUUUAGUCCACUCAUGGGUGACAAUAAGAUUUCAAUUAGCUGCUGACUCAUUCAUCCAAAUGUUGAGUAAAAUAUAUAGAAACAUAUACUCAUCAAAUGAGUGAAUGAUGCGGGAGACAAAUUGAAUCUUAAGUUUCCUAUACUUGGACUGAAGGGAGCUCCCUUUUCUUCCUUU
rnacentral:pre_miRNA from 14 species